AAGGAAAAAAAAAAAAGAAAAAGAAGAAAAGAAGAGCCGGGAGGAUAGGUUGUUCAGUUUACUACUGGAGACCUGACUGUGACAGAGCAUCGGGAAAACAUUUUAAAGGGAGGAAGGAAGAGCUGCUGCAGCAUCUUGGAGUCUCUCCUUUUUUCCUCAGAGUUACAUAGGAUAACUUGGCCAGAACUUACUGAUGACUGCACGGUCAGCAGAGCCGGGAAUGGGAAAUGCAGGAAGGCACUCUUUGGCUGCAACAGAAGAGGAGACAUUUCAAAGAUCCUGCAAGUGACUGAGGUGGUGAUCUGCUGCCAGAAUAAAUAAAUUUCAGAAAGUGCCAAAGCUGCUCAGCCGUUUGCUGUGAUAUCACUCCUACAUAAGGAACUUGUAUCACCAACUUUCUUCAAGUAUCUCCUCCAUUAUGCCAGAGGGGCACAUCUUUUCAACCGAGUCUGAGACAAGUAGAAGAAACCGUCAUGAAAGAGGUGUAAAGAAGGAGUGAGAAGUGGGUGCGGGACUUCUCUGAACAUCUGAGAGAAGCAGACUCAGGAAUGUGAUCCAUGGCGUUAGCUGGUGGAGCUCCCAAAUCCAGAGGAGAUGUCAGAUUUCUGCCAGCUCUUGCAUGCAGAUUGAGAGAUCUAAAUCAGGUAGUAAAAGUUACUGUGCUUACAAUGCCACUGGCAUUGGUCUUUCUUUUCCUUUCUGCAAAUUUGACUAGAGUCAUUGAAUUAAACUCUAGAUGCUUUGCAAGUAUUUAAUGAUCUGUCCGUUUGAGACUCAGCACUUUUGUUCCUGUUUUUCAGCAGUUGUGAGCAUGAACUUUCAGGAGGAAUAGAAUUAAGCAGCCUCAAGUACUUUGAGCAGAGGACAUGCCUAUGAUUAACACUGACAUUUUUUGUUUCUCACUGGGACAAAUUUUUCCUUCUUCGGGAUCUGACUUCAGGCACUAGAAUCGUACUGUCACCAUGUUCCUCGCCUGCUCUGGAGAAAAGGAUGAGAUUGCUAAGGCUCUGUGCUGCAAACCUUUCAGAGCAGCACUUGCAAAUGGAUUGAAACCUUCCUCAGGGAUUUCUGAACAACGUGGGUAAAAAAUUUAAGUGCUUUGUAGUCUCAAUGGGAAGACUUAGUAUCAGAUCCAGGCUUGUCUGCCUCCCUCAUCCACAUACUCAUUAAAAUCAUCAGAACUAAGGGUGUGAGAAGGACGGGGCCUCAAGUGUCUGACAGUGAAAAGAUGGUGGUGCAAGGCUCAAAAGCAAGACAGGUCAGAUUUCAGACAAAGUAGGGAAAACUGCUGAGAUCUCCACAGGCAUCCAACACCAGUCCCACCAAGUCUCCCUCACUCCUGAGGAUGCAGCUUUAACCACAACACAUCCCAUCUUUGAUUAUCCAGAUUAUGGAGCUGCUUGUAUCUUUCUCUGAUGGGUCUAGUGCUGACACCCUUAAAUACUAGACAAAAGCCUACAGCUACGCUGGAAAAUGAUGUGCAGACUUCUCCUGGGGACCAUCUGCAAAGAAGAUGCACACCUGCCGGUAGAUUGUUCCCAACACAUCACCUAUGUGUAUCAUGAAGGAAUUUUCUCCUUCUCUGCUCAGUGUGUGACAAGAUUUGGUCCAAAGUCUAACUGAAGUCGCUGUUGCAGUUCUUGUUGACUGUACCAAGGUUUGGGCUCGGUUCAUGAAGAUCUUUCAUAAUAAAUAACGUAGGUAGGUAGAAGAUGCAAAGUUCACAGUCCCACUGGGAUCAGAUCUUUUUCAAACGUUCAGACAAAUGGAUUAGAUUUGAAUGAUCUGGGACAUCUGGAUGUAACCUUGAAUUCAAAUGGCAUCAAAAGGAUUUACUUGUAAGCUUUUGAUUUAACCUCGUCUCUUCACAUAACUUUCUGAGUUUUUUGAAAUGUGAUUUUUACAAAUACAAUGAGCCUUGUAAAAGAAAUGUGGAAGAGCAAAUGUGAAUCCCUAGGCUGCUCAGUGUCCCGUUUGAUACAGUACAAAAACAGUGUAAGUAGCCUAAUGUUUUGAUGAACAGAAAUAUAUUCCUGGCAAAGAAGUGAAUUUAGCACUUAGUGAAAUUGCUCUACUGAACUGGUGACAUUAGGUUCAUAGUCAAGCUUUUAUUGCUAAAAAGAAAUUGCAGUCACACUCUUCAUAUUGAAAAUUUAGUUUAAUAAAAUAAAAUUCAGUGACAGUAAUUUUUCUCUAUCUCUAUAUUUCCUGCAGCAGUACUUGUUAAAAGAGAUAGGAAACAUGCAGACCUAGAGAUAGCCUUUCUCACACCAAAGACCAAUGUCUUUGCAGACUAAUACUCAACGAGGAUGUUCUCAAGCAACUUUUCUUUCAUCUGUAACGCAAUACAGAAGAUGUGCAAUUGUCAAUGUUGUGGAACUCCAUCAUCUAAAACAGUGCACUCUCCAGAGUGAAGGGGUGAUUCUUUUACAGCAUUAGCAAUAUCUGUCAACAGGGCAGGCCUGAAAGAAGUCAGCCUUCUGUGACUAAUAGCAUAAGCAGUCCCUUCCCUUAAACAGUUUCUUUUUAUCCCCCAAGGGUCUUGUAGUAACUUAUACCUGAAGAAGCAGCCUUUUUAUCUUCCUCAAUCUAAUUAAAAUACAACAUCAGGCAGAUGAGCAAUACAAUAUUGCUAGUGUCCAUUUGUUAACAUGUCAGUCUCUGAAGGAUUUCCAGUUCUAGUUGUGAUUGAAGAGGCACCAGAUUACUCAGCUGUAGAAAUCGCAGAUGAAAAAAAUCUCCAACUCUUGCAACCACAAAACUCGUGAGGAUUUUACAAUCCAUGGGGUGAGAUUAACUAACAGAAUAAUAUAAAUGCAGUGAAAACAUGCUCCAUUCAAGCAUGUCACUUAAAAGCCAAAUAAAUCUGCCUUAUGGUGAGUUUUGCGUUUUUGUAGCAGUAUGAAACUUUUUUCUUUUACGUUCUGAGGGGUAGGUGGUCAAAUUUAGCAGAGAAAAUAACGGCUCAAAGUAUACAGCGGAGAUAGACAAGGUGCAUUUUUUAAUGUUCAUACACUGUAACUGCAUGAGUGUGACUCAUUCCCUGCAAGUUCCCACCACCGCUCGUCUCCAGCCAGAGGCACUGGUAGAGCAGGUGCUGUCAGAGAGAGAUUGCUGUGACCACUGAAUGUCAUUAGAUGUGGGCAGAGACUGGAUGGAGGUCAUCCGACCCCUUGCACUUGUAAAGUUUGGAACAACAUAGGUAUUUGCAGGCUGAAGCCUAUGGCAUUCAAUUUACAAGUUUAUCUUGGUCAUUUUUCUAUUGAUAUUUUAUGGCCUGUACACAGUUACAUCUUCUGUCUAGGCUUUUAAUUUGUAAGCUGUGUAACUGGUGUACGUGAGGGUUUUAAGUCCAAGAAUUUCAGGGUUCGCUGUCAUUUUGCAUAUGGACAUAAGGUAAUGCCUUCUUCCUUUUUAUUUUAUUAUUUUACUCAUUAAAGGCUAAACACAAAUUCGUGCAUUUAGAAGCAGCUCUCUGAAAUUGCAUGGCUAUAUAAUCGCAAUUUAUCAGACCAAAAAUUAAAUCUAAAAUUAGACAUAAAAAUCACAACAUUACCAGUCCUGGAUUUAAGGCUUAUAUUGCUCCAAAUUUCAAGGAAAAUAUUUAAGAAUCGAUUUAAAUGCUAAUGAACUGGUUUGCCAUAAAACUAGCUAGUAGUUAUACUCAAUCAGAGUAAAAGAGAAACAGUAUUAGUUUUUCAUUUGUCAGCCUUCACUUGUGACAUUAUAUACACAAAUUCACAAAUGUUCUUGUGUCUCCCAGACCUACAUACCACAGUAUAGUAAAAAGACACCUUCCAGAAACCAGGAUGUAGAGAGCAGGAACAGAAAGCUUUCCUCCUUGCACAUACGUUGGGUCAAAACCAGGCAACCAUAAGCACAUGCACAAACUGCAAAACGUGUACAAGAGGGAAGGGAAGAUCCAUGGAUGACAAGUUGAAGGAGAGUGACAAGGCUUACCCUAUGGAGCUGUUGAUGGAGGAAAGUUGCUCAUGCUGUGCCUCCUCAUAGCAAAGUGCACUCACUGCAUCUGCUGAAGUUUCACCUGGACUUUCUGCCAGAAGAGGAAACGUGAUUUUGAGAUGGAGCCCAAUCUGAAAGAGGGUGGAGGAGGAGAACUCCAACCCUUGUUAACCUGGUAGGUUAUAGUCUGUAAAUCAGAGAAGAUAGGAUAGAUAGGGAGACCUCUGCUCUGCUUCUGUAGGCGGUGGGAGCGAUGGGACCCCACAGUCUCCAUCUCACAGCAUCUCAGUGAGUGCAACAGCCUCGGGUGGGGCUGAGGAGCGAGGACAUCUGCCUGCACCACUUCCAAACAACCAGAGGCUCGUUUUCAUCAAGCUGAUUGUUAGCAGGUUCAGAAUUUAAAUAUUAAAAGAGAGCCUCAGAAUUAAAUAGGCAGAACUCUCUAGUCCUUAUUCAUUAAGAAAAUGUCUGGGGGCUUCUUCCCCCCUCCCCUGAAGAAGGUUUGAAAAGACAAGUUAUCCUUACGAAAUCUUAUAAACGCCCACGAGACAAUUUUGCUUUGAAGUAUCAGUGUGACAGGGCAAAAGCAGAACAAUUUGAUACUAAUGAUUUCAGUCACCAUCCUAAUGCUUCAUGUUUUAAAGAUCAUUUUGCAAUAAAGACAUCGUGAUUUUACAGUCACAUUAGAAUAAUAAACCAUAGCACUUAUGGAAUACUUUAAAAGAGAAAAUAAAUUGGAGCAAUAAAUGUUUUUCUCAUUUUAGAGUUGGAGAAACUGGGUCUCAAGGAGGUGACCUUGUCAUAGUGCAGUCUGGGACACCUUCUCCUCACUCCUUGUUCUGAGGCUGCAUUUUGGGUGGUACUGUCCCUUACUAACUACUGUAGACAAGAUGUCUGAUGACAACUCUCUGCAGGAGACAACAGAUGCAGACUGAUGUUCUAGCUCCCUUCCUUGUGACUUCAGGCACUUCACUGAGGCAUCUAAAAUAGGAGUGUUGAAACUCCCAUUAGGGGGAAAAAAUAAAAAUGGAGAGAAGUGACAAGAUCUUUUCACAAUAUAUGAAAUGAACACAAUUCAUUAGACUUGCUGACGUUCGCUGGAGGCAGGAGGUGGCCACCAAUCUACCCUUCCCCAUCAUUUUUGCUGGUGCAUUCUCUGCCACGUGGCCUGCAGGAGAGGAGCAGCUCACCAGCCUAGGUAGCUGCUGCCCACCCUGCUCCACCAGGGGACUCCGUGGCUGGAGUGAGCACCAGCAUGGGCACCAGCAGGCAGGCACUGCAUGGAGAUGCAGCUGCUGCAAAGCAUCCUUUGAGCUCAGGGAGCACGAGGAUGGGAGGCCGCCCAUAAGUCAGAUCUCUAGUGAAGAUUCACCAGCCAUUAAUCCAGCUUGAUUCAUUAUUCAGCUUGAAAUUCUCUUCCCUAACUUCCUUCUUUCCUUUUGCUAUCACUUGCUAAGCAAAGGUAUGUGUUUCCCUCCAAGUAACUCCACUGACAUCUCUGCUAACACACAGCUCUCAGAUGAUGACAGAAAAGAAACAGAUGGUUCUAUACAGGAUCCCAAAGUGCUCAUCAAUAUUUACGGACAUCAGACAAUGACUUAUCUUUGACCAUCUACAUUUAAACCACAGCAAUGCAAAUGAAGCUUCCUUUGCAUAGUAAGCAGUAAGGAUGGGAUAUUGCUACGUACAUUUGCAUCUUCACUCAUAAAGGACAUUCCUCCUCCAUGAAUAUUUCCUUCCUGUACUGUUCUGGCAUGUUACUGUAACAUAUAGUCAGGAAUUCAGUCAGGAAAGGUAAUAUAAAAGGCAGAGUGGGUUUCCCAGCUCAGAAACAAGUGUACAUCACUUAAUAUUUUGGUAGAGGAUAUAGGAGAGGAAAAACUCUUUGUGGCAGCCAUUCACUAUCAAAGCCUCAGCUGUUCUGCCUCACUGCAGUUACCAGUGAAGUGCAAGAGCUCAACUGGUUUGAAAAACGGAUCCAGACAAAACAUUUAAGGACUCAUGUGAAUCUUUAAUUAAAAUGCAUUCAAAAUGAGCAUUUCACUCUCCACUCUUCUUCUCCAAAACACAAUCCCACGCGUUGCAUGUUGGAGGUAGGCUGGGGUGGUGGAAACAGCAAUGAAAGAGAGAAGGAAAACCCCUAAACCGAAGCAGUCACCAAGUUGUCAGCUCUCAUCAUGAGACUUAAGAGAAAAUCCAUACCUACAGGGAUGAGAUCCUCGAGAUGAAGAUUGGUGGCAGCGUGUGCACUGAGGAGGCAGCGUGGCCAGCCACUGCUCUCGUCUGUGACAGCUGCAUUUGCUGACAGUAGCAGCCUGGCUCUGGGACACCUGUCAAAGGGCACCCAGAACUUCAGAUGGCACAUCAGAGAACAGUAAGAAAUUAUGGAUGGGAGAUUACUUCUGCUGGCAGAGCUCAUCAGUAUUUGAAGGCUGUCAACAUCCCAAACUCUCUGAUACUCUCUCCCUUGGUAAUUUUAUUUUAUUUUUCAACUGCAGCAGUCUUUAUUCUAGGCAGAAUUUGUGGAAUUGGCUGGAAAGAUAAAGAUCAUCAUUUCGUCAGAAUCCUUGGACCUGAAUCUUUGUCUUUACUUUUCCUCAUGUGACUGAGAAAGGCACUUGGGAACUAAGACUGCCCUCCUGGAUAAGUCCCAUGAAUAUAGAGAUAAUUUCACUACUUCUUGGAUGCGUGAGCUGUGGGAAGACAGCCCCCCUCUUCUUCAUUACUUACUUAUGUUGCUGUGUAUGGAAAGUUAUUUCUGUAUGAUGAAAGUGUUUGCCAGGAGUAGACAGGUUGUUUUGAAUGGCAUUGCUUUUGAAUUCUGUUUAUAAUUAGACUCCUUCCCUGUGUGCUUUUUCCUUUUUCCUUUAUUUAUUUAUUUUCUUUUUUUAUUUUAUUUUUAGAGUCUGUAUCUAGUACAUUGCUUUCCUUUGCAUGAAAGACUUAAUAGUCCAUCGCCUAAUUUCCAUGUUAAUUAGGCACGUGACUCCUCUCAGUAACUGCCACAUCCUCACUCGCUUAAUACGUACUUUUGUACCCUCAGCAACGAUCUGAUAAAGAACAUUAUCAGCGCAAAAUACAUAGAACAAGAAACCAUGGGGAUUAGAUAUUAAGGAGGACACUGUGGGGACUGUGUUAAUUGAGACGAUCAGCAAGAUUAAGAUAAGUCUUGCUGCUUUCUCAUAUUGGUCCUAAUGACACAAUGCAGAGCCCAAAGCACUUUACCUGCUGUACAAUGUAUUUAAGUCGCUUUCUUCCCCAGGGUUUGUAAUCUAAUCUUCUAGAUAAAACACUUAGCUGAGUGAAAACAGCUGGUGUUAAAGGCUGUAUUUUUAAGAUACAGCACCUGCAUAAGGUUUUAAAAACAGCUAAAAAUAGUGAAGGCUAAUAGAAGUUGUAAUGUGUUCUAUGUGUGCAUGCAUCCAGAAAGAUAGACAGAAGUCUGUGUGUGAGUGAGUGCACAGCGUGGCCUGAGCCAGUAUUGAUGCUGUUCCACCUUCAAGAGAGAGCUUUGCCUGGGUGUCUCCAGAGGCCCUUUCUACACAAUAUUUCCCUGAUACAAAUUCAUAGGAGUGGGGGUGCUAAUAUUAUCAUUUUAAAAGGUUGUUCCUCCUUUAAGAAUAUUGGCUUUUUCCUCAAAAUUGUUGCUGUCUGCAAUUAAAAUGAAGAUUUCUCACAGUAAAUGAUUUUGCAUAAAUAGAUUUUGAAUAAUGGAGUUGUUGUCAAGAAAAAGAAAUACGCACUGCCCAGAUCUUUUUCAAAUCAAUUCUUGAUGGAGUUCUUCAAAGGGGGAUAAACAUUGCUGGUAUAAUGAUUUGCCAUAUGACCUUGCACUUGAAGUGCUAAGCAAGGUGAAAAACAACAUACCCAAACGUGAAAAAUUGCUGAUUUUGAUUCCUAGAGUAAUAUUUUUCUAGCUAGAACUAUUUCUGUUAUGGGCUGGCAUGCACAUACAGAGAGAAAGUUAAGAUUUUCCUUCAGCAAUAUGUGAUAUCACCCACUCAACUAGAUAACCAAGAUGCUAUUUGGCUUCACGAAAAGCACUUUUGCAUGUCUGCAGGCAAUACAGCUCAAAAGCAAUUUGGGAGGAAAGGUAGGUUUUGCAGCUGUGGCAAAGGACUGAGUGUUCAUUGUGGUUCUGAUUGUCCUGCCCUCUGAGCCAGCCUCUUACCCCUAGGGUCCCAUGGGGUAAGGUGGACCAGGGGUUCCCUUGACCAGAGACCUUCUCCAACCUCAGAGUGCAAUAGUGCCAAGAACCAGUGUGACACAGGCUGCCAAGAGUCCUUGCUUUCCAUAGGACCAACAUGAUAGCAAGAUCAUGGGGGGAUCUCUGGGCAGCCUGGUCUAGUGGUUGGCGAACCUGCACUCAGCAGGGGAGUUGAAACUCGAUGAUCUUUGAGGUCCUUUUCAACCCAGGCCAUUUUAUGGCAGAAAGCAGGAGGAGUUGAAAAUAUUCACUGACGGGAAGAAAUCUGAUAUAAAUGGCCUACUGAGUCCAAAUGUGUUCCUCAGAUAUUUUGCUGCCCCAGCCCAGGUGCAGACAGAUGUCCUCCUCAGGCAGUGACUGUAUAGCAAGGAAAACUGCUGGUACAGAAAGCAUAGGCUGCCUUGGGACAGUUGUCAUUGCCUGACAAGAAAUGUGACUUAAAACACCAUACACACUUGGUAGUUAAAAGCAUUGAUCUUCCAAACUGGAGAACGUUACAAAGAGAAGAGAAACAUAAUGGCAGAAGCAAACCUAGAAAUGUAAAUGAGGGGGAAAAAAAAAAUAUGAGGAAGGAGCGCAUAUCAAAUGGCCAAAAAGACAUUACUUCACAGUGAAGGAGCUGAACGAUAUUGGUGAAAAGCCUAUUCUCUUUCAGUGGAAGAAUGAAGGCAGGAAUAACAAAUUAAAAAGCAAUAUGCAACAUAUGGGAAAAAGAAAGAGGUAAUAAAGAUCCAUAUAAAUAAGAGCUUAUGAAGUGUAGAAAAUUGAUAAAGGAUACUAAAGAUAUCAGAAUAAAAUCCAUGGCUGAUCUGGCUAUGUUUUGGAAGAAGUGGCUCUUGAAAGCUUAUUAGUAAUAGCAGAAAAAACUAUCAGUGUCACAGACUCAUUACUAACUGGAGACAGCGAGUCAUUAGUAACAAUGAAGAAAGAGGCAAAAUAGUUCAACAAUUAUUUCUGUACUCUCUUUAGAAUAAUGUAUUUUUGGACAUAUUAAUAAUUAAGAAAGAGAUUGAACAACUUGUACCAAGGUUAAACAUUUUUGAAAUCAUAAGAUCCAAAAAAGCGGCCCCCAAGAGUCAUGGAAGAGUUGAGAUAGGAUAUUUUUAGCUUCCUUAUGUACAUUUUUAAUAGAUCACAAAACAGUGUGGAAAUCUGCAAAGGUCAUUGACAACAUUGUGUAAAAAUUCCAAGACAAAUGAAAUCACUCAGGUAAAUACAGUCCAGUUUACUUGGUACCAAUCUCGGGUAAAGUAACGGAGAAAUUGGUGGAAGAUCUAAUUAAUAAAGCAUUUAAAGAUAAGAUUGUAAUUAACGCAACCUUACUGACAAGGGGAUUGCGAAUUCAGACUGGGAAGCAUAGUUGAUAGGGAGUAACCAGGAGCAAUCUGUUCAAAACUGGGGGGCAGAAGGAGGAACUUCUGAUUUCAGUGAUAAGGUAAGGCUGCAGGAAGGGCUGCAUCCCGAGAAGAGAGACAGGGUAGGGUCCCAUGGGAAAGGCAGCAGGUGACUUCCAUGGACAACUGCACUGUCACAUGCAUGCAGUUUGUGCAAAAGGCAAGCUUCUGACUUUUGACUUGCAGUUCUUUAAUACAGAAAAAUCAUUCAGGUAAAUAAAUUAUGUGAUUAUGAAGCAGCUUGCAAAGAUAUAAAUGAAGCAGCGGCAGGAAACAAGGCAGGAUAGGUUGUUUCAGGAAGCGAGGGGAGCAAUGAGGCUGUGGGAUGUUCAGCUGGCAAAGAAAUAGAGGAUAAAGAGAAGAGAAGGAAAGGGGCAAGCAAUACAGGUUUUAGAGGCUACGUAAAAUGUCCUUAACCAGCUUUCAUGAAAAGAUGAGUGUGUGACUGAACUCCCCUCCUAAAGGAGUGCUCCAGCAGAUUAACAGGAAUACAAUGAAGGGUCAUUUUUUCUCUUGGAGCUAUUGAAUUCCUUCCUUUCAUUGAAUCAGUACAUUGCAGAUUUUGCUUAUCAAAAGUCCUUUAGUGCUGUUUGAUGAUGAGCCAUAUUCUGCCUUGACUUCCAUCCCAGGCAUCCCCACCAAGUUCAAUGACGUCUCAUGGAGAAUAAAGCAAGGCAGACGUUAGCUUGAUGUCUUUAACAGUGUUGUGGCUGCUAAUGAAGCACGAUCUGAUUUGGUACAUGCCUGGAGACUGUCACCAGCAUGUGGUGGAAUAGACAGUCUCUGCUGUCUCUGCAAUUGAUUCAUCAAGUGCACUACGAGUAUAGGAAAUUGGAACACCUAUUCUCUUCUGUUUGGUUUUGUUGCCAUUGAGGAGUCACAUGGAUAAAACAUACAAGAAAUAUUUUGGGAAUUUUUGGCAAUGAAAUGGUUUCCCUUUUCUCCCACUCCUAUCCCACCCAAAAGUAAUGCAGCUGUCAGGCUUAUUAGAUAGCACAGGCAAGUUUUAAAAAGUAAAGAACAGGAGUGUUGCUUUUAUAAGAUAGAACUGUAGACCUGGAAAUGAUCCAUAUUUGGAAUAUAAAUGCAGGCUGUUAUGCAGAUCAAAGUAUCUAUUUGGAGCCAAAUUACUCAACAACAUCUAUCUAUGCCUCUUCAACACCUGCAGAUUAGCAAUGUAAUCUUGUGGAGGUUGCUAUAGCUACAUCUCUGGAGCAGGUGGAGUUCUUCAUCUCUGGGAGCACUGUUAUGCUCAUUCUUUGCAAAUAAACCAUCUAAGAGUAUAUUUAAAAUGUCACCCUGGUGGUGUCAGUCCCUGCCUCUCUGACACUGUCACAUCAGAUCUGUCCUUAUCGGACUGAGCCCAGCUAUUUUCUCUAGAAACAACACUGCCUCCAUCUGAGCGCACUGCCUUCUGCAUGAGUACGUGUGCCUGGGCAACAGGCUUUGCUAAUCCAGACCUAGUCAGGCCAUAAAGCAUGCCUUUGAGGUUAAGCUGCGGAGGACAGGCCAGGUUUAUCUUGCAGUUAUCUAGUCUUGUCUAGGCUGGUGGCACGUACCACUGUAAGAUGGCACACAGCUUUCAGCAACAACACUUGCCAGGACCUUCAAGAAGUCUCCAACUGCAGUGAGGUAGUAGGAGUGGUAACCACGAGGAUUUUCAAGCUGGUUGUGUACCUGUGUCUCCCAUCAUGGGCUCUGCUUUUACACUGAAUAUGUGAUCCUUCCUGCUUCGGCUCCCCUGCCGUUUGCCACAGCAAAGAGUUGCCCACAUGACCUUGCCUUCUGGUUGUCUGACUGCAGUGACUGGCAUGUGCUGUAACCCUUAACCUUCUGCCAAUCAAGCCCACAUCAUGAUAACCUUUGUGAAAACUCAACAGCAAUCCCUGGGCGAAAAGCUGAUAGCCUGAAAGAAGAGCCCUGACAAGUAUUGAAAUAAAUGACAAGAGGCUAAGAAGAAGCACCAAAGAGUAGAAAACAAACAAAUCAGGAUACUUUGACUUGUCUGAUUUUGUCAUUCUCCUUGUUUGUCUUUUGCUCUAGUUCUAUGUGAAGUGCAAGCUUUUCAUUCCCCAGUGAAAGUAGGGAAAGAGAGAUUUCCUACCAAAACCUGUCAACAACAGCAACAACAGAGGAUGUUUUCCCUCCCUGGCAAAUUUUAAUUUCUACAGUAGAAAGCUGAGUAUCAGAAAAUGCUCCAAACAUAGCAACGCUUCAGUAGUUUUCAAUAGAAUGCUCCAGACUUCCCCAGAAUGAAAGAAAGAAAAGAAAGAAUAUUAUUAUUGCCAAGCAGCAGAGUGACCAGCUUAUGCUCAGCCUCAUGUUUUCCAUGCACUGCUUUUCCUUCCAGUUUAUUUUGUCCCCUGUCAUGUCUCUGAUACAAUGCCUCUUUAACUUCCAAAUUCCUGAAAUAUGUACUCUCCACAGAGCCUCCUAACUUUUGUCCUCUCCAAAAGUAGUGCUGUAAAAUUUAUUUCCAAAAGUUCAGGCAUAUAAAAAUAUGCCAUGUUGCCUUGAGACAAAUUCAUCUUUGGGUCAAUUGGUGUCUUACACGUCACGACUGUAUUUCUCUUACCCUUAAGGCAACUUCUAUAUUCCAGUUCUCCAGACUGAUGGUAAAAUAAACCAGUGAAAAUGAUGAAGAGGCCACUCAUUAUGAUACAGGCUGCUUAGGGACUGGUCUUUCCACUUGCUUCAGGAAUGUCUGUUGAAAAAGGUGAGUGAGACAGGCAGUGUGAAGGAAAUCUUGUCAGUCCUGCCUUUAGUCUGAGUCAGACUUGUUCAUAGCUGGUGAUCAAAACUUUGCCAAAAGCAGGGAUGCGUGCUUUGCCUUUCAAAAGAGCUAUCAGUCUAAAACACUGAAAUGAAGGCAGCCACAGUCCCGUGUGCUGCGAGAGAAGGGGCUCCUAUCUGACUGCUGAAUUCCUGUCAGCACUGGGCCAUCAUGGAGCAAUAAUUAAGCCAUGGUGGCUGUGCAGCUUAGGGAACGUGUGUCCAAAUGAUAGCUAUGAAAAUGGAUGGCUUUUUUCAAGCUUCAAGCCCAGAGUGAGGGGUUUGAGGCUUUUUUUGCUUUUGCUGGGUUUUUGUGUGUGUGUAUGUUCUUCCUCCUUGGGUUGUUUUCUUCUUCUUUUUUUUUUUUCCCUCUAAGGGCUAUUAAAAUCUGUAAACUGUUAAUUUUGUGCUACACCAAAUUAAGAGUAACAUUUGUUCAUGAUUUAGCUGCCAGGAAUUUGAUUUUGCUUUUUGUGGCCGUCCUAACAAGCAGACGAAAGAGAUCUGCCAUACACUCACGUACAUGAACGAGGUUGUCAAAAGCAGCUAGCAGCUUGGGAGUCUGUAGUCUCCCACCCCAAGACUCCUGUAGUGGGCUUCUUUUGACAAAAACAAGCUUUCCUUAAGGCAUCUCUAAUCAAUCAUAUAAAAUUUUAAACACACCCUAUAUCAUUAGUCACUUUUGAAACUAGCAGCUUUAAACAUCAAAAAGGAAAAAACGUGGUCUUAGUAAUUGCUGCCACGCCCGUAUUACCCACAGCACCCACAGAAGCUUUUCUGCAGGGCAGAAACUCUUUCUUGGAAGUCUCCUGUAUGAUUUUGCUAUGGAAAUAUAUCUAGAAAAAAUUGACCAGUCUGAAGUUACAGCAAUCAAUUCUUAGCCUGACGUGUGAUCUUGUUUCGUAACUAAAAGAAAAGCCAUGCAAGGCUCAUUUGUAGAAAAUGCUACAAAUUAUAGCAUAUCUUUGGGGAAGAAGGAAGCUCACCUCCAUCCCACAGCACAGUGCUGGGCUUGACCCCAGCCCAUGCUGUGCCCCACAUUGGUGGGCCCUGCGAUUCAAAUGCCAGAGAGCCGUGGUGGGUCAUCUGUGCUUUGCAGCACAGCCUCCUCUCUAUCUCCAUUGCUACAGAAAUUGUUUCUCGAGGCAGCCCUAAUUUUCUUUUCAUCAGUCAAUUAGGGGCAGGCUUUGCACCUUGUUGUUUGUUUACCCAGUGCUGCACUGUUUGAUAUUAUUUUCUUCAUGACAAAUUAACCACAGCUGGACCUGUCUGGAAUUGCUAAGGACGCUCUUAGCUUAAGUGAUGAAAAAGGGAAAAAAAAGACAUAGUAGGCAUGAGAAACAGAAACUGGUACUUUGGGAAUGGCCUCUAAUUUCCAUCUGCUCAGAUCACACAACCUCUCAGGGCCAGCCAAGCUGACACUGUGGAGCAAAAUCCAUAGCUCCUGAGAAUACCAGUGGUGACACUUCUCGUUGUCUUGAGCAGUGUAACCAGCCAAGAUCUCUCCAGAAAAGUCCAGUAAUGAGAAUCUCCCUUAUGUCUUUACCACAGAUCCAGUCAAGCCAAGACUCCAGUGAUCUACGUAGGGAAAUAUCCUCUCAGGGAAUAAAUAAAGGAAAAAACAAAAUUUACAGGAUUCUUUUUCACUGCUGUGUCAAUCUUGUACCUGGAGUUUUGAAAUUCUCACACUCCGUUCUUUUAGUUCAAACAAACUUAUUUUACAUUUUCCCCCCGCUUUUCCCCAUCUUCUAUGCUCCAUUGCAGCAACAUUCUCCCAUAACACAUUAGCAGAUUAAAAAUAACCUUCUGCCAUCCUUCAUCUACUUUAGCCAAUUUAAAACCAGACACGCUACCCCAGGCUCCAUAGAGCAGAGGAAGCAGAGCAUGCAUGUGUGCAUGCAUAUGGGCUCUGACCCAGAGGAACCAAUUCGGAUAGAAAGAGGCAAGAGUUUACUUCUACUUCCUAGAUGGAUCUGAUUUUGCACCUCCCUCUCCUACUGCCUGUUUUCUCUGCUGCUAAGACAAUCAGCCAAAGGUCCAGAAAAUUAAUGAUUACAGUUAUUGUGGGACAAGAACAAUGAUUCAUGAACAACAGGACACAAAAAAAAAAAAAAAAAAAAAAAAAACCAAACAAACCAUUAAUGCAUUCAUCUUUCCUGAAGCUAUCAGAUCCUGAUGAUCAGAGCUGAGUGAGCAGCAGAUAGAGUUACUCAAGGAGAGACAGAGCCAGGUUCUGAACUGGCCCUGGAUGCAAAUGUUUCUUGGAGACUGGUGUGAAAAGGGCUAUCAGCUCCCAACUUGUGCUGCCAUCUCUGCAUUAAAUAUUGUGAGAGGAUCUUUGAUCCACAGGCAUCAGGGAGGAAAGCUGGCUGACAGCAACCCCAGCACCCCACUGGCACAUGACACCCACCUGCAGAAAGGGCCACACAGCUGGGGCAUUGCUGUCCCAACUGACAGCCACUGCUGGAUUCUUCUUGCUAUGCAGCUUGAUAUACACACGACAGCAUUCACAUUAAAUGCUUCAUGCGGCCAGUUUAGAUAAAAAUCCCUUUAAUGAGGGUUUGGAGCUGUUUUCUUCAAACAUGUAAUAAUUGGCUUCGCAGACUUUUAGUGCAGGUUACUAAGCGGUGUUAACCAGGUUCAGUCAAUCUAGCAGCUGGGCUGGAUGGCAUAUUACUGAAAUUUCUGGGUAACCUGAGCUGACCCAAAAUCUUUUCCCCUGUUGUGCUCCUUUGAACACGUGUGAAAAUCAAUAGCUCAGAAAACCCUUCAAUGUCUUUGUCCCUGCACGAACUCCAUUUUUUCCCAGCUGCUACUCAUUUACCUACCAGGGUUACCAGAUGCUCCCCUGAGGAUCGCUGCCAAUGUUGCAUCACCAAGGGUGAAAUGAUGUCAAAACACUACUGAGUAUGUACUGAGCUGAGAGGAAAGCCACAGUUUGUUGCCCUGGACCUUCACACACAUCUGCACCUAUUCAACCGCAUUCGCCACUCUGAAAAGAGCCACUGUUAUUUAUUUGGCAGACCAAAUGAAGCUCUUAUUUUGCACCUGUCCUAGCAGGGAACUUGAUCAAAAAGCCACCCCAGUCAAACCUUUCCUGUCAUAAUAAUCUCCUCUACCCUGAUAUCUGACUAUUCAGUGCACGUGGAGGAACACAACACCCUGCCAGACAGGUCCCGAUGCACUCUGCCCUCUUGUACUGCUGUACAGCUGCAUUUCUGGCACAAAUCAAGGACCCUACACUGAUCGAAUGUCUUUCUUAUUUAUGAAGUAAAGUACUGAAUCAUUUAUUUAGUAUGGUUGUUGUUGUUUUUUCCCCUCAUCUGAAUUUGAAAACAGUUCCUGGCAAUGGAGUAUUGAACAAAAACUUUGAGAUUGAUGGAUGAGGUUGGUUUUGUGUGGGGAGGUAAAGGACGUUUCAUUGCUGAUAAUUGUGCGUUAGAUUCCCUACUUAGUAAGUUGGUAAUAUUCUUAAAGAUUUAAGUACUCUCCAGGAUGGAAUUAAAAUUGUACUUUUCAAAUUUAGUGCAUGUAGGACUUAUAAAUUCUCUGGUGAUAAGCUUACUUGUGGAAAAACGCUCAUUAGUAUCUGUUAUUUUCUUACUAUCAAUAAUUCUUAAGGCCCACUACACAAAUAUUUAGGAUAAAAUGCUUAGUGGCAAUUUCCUCAGAGCACUUAGGAUCAUUAGGGUGGCAACAGAAAACAGUUACAGCCGCGGCUUUUCUGAUUUGCUCCAUAAAAAUGAUUUAGCAAAAAAAUAUCUGCAUUGACAUGGAAGCAGUCGUCUCCCAUUUCACCGCUUUGCAUUUCUGAACCAAUAAUCCCUGUGUUGCCUGCAAGUUGGGACCAAUUAUUUUAUGUUAUUAUACAUUCUUUCAAAAUUAAGCCCUAAAGCAAAACGAAAACAAACCUCCAAACACAUCUAAACCUCUCGUGUAUGAAAGUUUCAGCAUGGUAUUUCUCAGUUUUCAGCACUACUAAGUAGGAACAGGAGCUCCCAGCAACAUCAUUUUGGACAUUCACACGCGUGGGCAGAACGUGGUGAAGGGGCCCUGGGGAGGAAGGGGUAUGGAGAAGACCUGCCCAGUGUUCCACCACUUUCCCAUGCAGGUAAAUCCCUCAUCUUGAGAGGAGUCAGCGAUCUCUGUGACCACACAGAUCACAAUGUAGGCUUGUGGUUUAAUUCUGCUGGAUAAAUAUGGAGGCUUCCUCCUGUUGGGCAUUUCCAUGCUCUCUUCCUCCAGCAAAUAGACUGAAUUCAGGCAGCCUUUUCCACUGGUUAGGUGACAGCCCACUGGUAAUGGGGCACUGGAGAUGUGGAUGAUGAAAUGCCCAAACCCUGGCUGUCCACAAUCUCGUGCUGCUUCCUCUCUGAAAUAAUGCUCCAGCUCUGACAUUCGCUUAUUUAUACAACCACAGGCUGACUUUUUGUCUGUUUUCUCUAAGCUGCUGUGGGUUUUGUUUCCAGUAGGCGUAUUACUUGAUUAAUGAUCUUUCUGUUAACACUUGCUCAUAUGCCAUAUGGGAUCUUCUUGGGUUAUCUAAAUGCACAAAAUACUAAAAACAACUUUUUUGUUUCUUUUUCUUUUUUUUUUCGCAGCUCAACUCUGUUUUUAAUAGCACAGUAUCUUCUCCCCUCUGUCUUCCCCCCCUCCACCUUCCAAAAAAAAAGAACAUUUUCCUAGCUUCUCCAAACUUCACACUGUUGAAUGUUACUUGUGAUUCAUGCUGUUACCUUGUGCAAUACUCCAGGAAAACAGACCAUGGACAGGCUCUGUCAGGAAGGGUUUUGUAAUGGAUGUGUCAUUUCUCUUGUAUCUAUAUUAAGGACAAAAUCCCGUGAUGGUUGAUGAAUUUGUAGACCCCAUCUCUCUGAAAGCACAUUAGCUGCUCAGAAGAGGAAGGCUGCUUUUCUUUCAGGCAAUGAUGAUAGCACUUUCCAGGAUGCAGGUCGAAAAAUAUUUACAUCAAUAUAAAUAAGCAGUGUGUAACUAUAAAUAAAGAACACAGGUAAUAAAACGUUAUCAUUGAAGUUGAGAUUAAAAUUGAAUCCUGCCAAGCCCUAAAUAUAGAUCAUGAUAGACAAAUCCAAUAUACCUUUUUUUUUUUUUUGGUGGUGCUGUAAUUAUAGACUAGGUAAAGAAAAAAAGAUUAUACAGCAGACAUAAUUUGUAAUGAUUUCAGUAACAUUUCUGAGGUAAUGCCAUGAGAAGCAAUCACUACUUGUGCAUGCCUUUCCACAAGCAUAUGUAUCCCCCCACCAAGGGGUGCACUUGGAUUUCAACCAGAGCAAUGGAUGGCCGCCAUCUGCUUGGCUGGGUCACCUCUGCUAGGGCUGUUCCCUCCCUGACCCUGCAGCUUGAUGUUCUGACCAAUGGGAGCCCCUGCUGUAAGACCCAAAGACAAAUGGAGGAGCAGUUCCCAAACCUGGAGAGAUGUCAUUCUUGACCAACAGCCAGGUGACAGCCCACAGAAUGUGUCAACACCGUGUUGUGGCAUGGGGCCAACCCUUGACAGAGUGCUACCUGCUGCCUAUGCACCCCUCACCGUCAUGCCUCCCCCCUAAGCAGCUGCCAGAUGUUCUGGGGGCUUGUUGUUAGCACAGAUCCUCCUCUCCUUGUGACCAGAGGGGAUGGGUUCCUGGGUUGGUUCCCCUCCUUUCUAGCAGGAUAUUUACCCAUGCUGUAACUAACUGCUGGCUGGUUAUCAGCUCUCCCCAGAGUCUUCUCCAGGCUGAACAGCCCCAGCUUUCUCAGCCUGUCCUUGUAGGAACAUCCAUCCCUUGGAUAAUUUUUGUGGCCCUCCUCUGGACAUGCUCCAACAGGUCCACAUCCCUCAUAGGAAACUGCCACUUCAUGGCAUGGGCUUUGGGUCUGAGCACUGUGUCCUCCACUGGCAGAGUUGGGAAAAGGUUUGCAUCCACAGGCAGCAUGGUUUGGCAUGGAAAAGCACAGGUGGGUUCAGAAACAGUCUCUGAGCUGCUCUCAACAAAGUGGGAGGCAUUCCCUUUAAGUUAACCAGGAAUGGAGGCUCACACUGCGUCUCUGGAAAGGAAGGCUUGAGGCCAAAAGCCUCUUGUAUCUCAACAGAUGAAUAUAAAGCUUUAAAAAAUAAGAACAUGUCACGGAAUUAAAUGAGAACCACAAAUUUAGCAGGUCUGGUGACUUCCCAAGAGAACAUUGAGUAGAAAUGUAGAGAAAAGACUUCUUUUUGAGACACAGCGAAGUGAAUUACUAGUCCCUUCUGUAAAAUGUUAAAGUCUUGACUGCUGGAUAUUUACUUUCAAAGACGUCAGCUUCCACUACAGUCUGUUGAAGAGCCUUAACUUGACUGUGCAGAUGCAAUUACUGAAAAUGAAUCUGUCAGAGAAAUAUCAUGUAAACAAGGAGUCCUGUUUGGGCUCUCCUCCUGAAGCCAUCUUUGCCUCAGGGAUAACCUAAGCCAAUGCUUCACAAACCCAGUGGGAACAAGCAGCACAGGCACAAGGCAGACUGACUAAGAAGGUUAGUGAAACUUCAAAGUGUUAGCCAUGAGCUGGUAAUUGGUACCUGGGAGCCAGCCAUCCACAGGGAACAUCAAACAACGUUAUUUUUGGCUCUCCACAAAAAAUGUCAGGAUUAUUUUAUUUGGGUGCCAUUUCGGAACACCAGCAGCCCCUGACAGACAGCAUAUACCCGGUGUUUCUGCACCUUGAUGCACUUGGGGGUGUUUGUUUUGACAGGGGGUUGACAGCGUUUCAGUGCACAGUGCAUCACAGAUGAUUUGUAAGGUGAGCGUGGCCUUAUAGUGGACUCCUCGGAGCCCAUCCCAGUGCCUUGGGUUUCAGAGCAACAAGAUCUUUCUUCCAUUAACUAGACCUCUCUGCAAUUGUGCCUUUCUGCUCAUAAUAGAGAAUUUAUCCCCCACAAUUCAUCCGUUCUCUUUGAUCUGCGUGAGUUUCUGUAGGCAAUUACAUAUUAAUAUAUCAAAGGCUAUUGACAAUGCCAAGAAAUGGGUAUGCUAAUAUUCUUGUUUAAUCAUACAUGGGUUUGUGUGUUGUUUGUUUUUGUUUUGUGUGUGUGGCGUGUUUCAUUUUAGUAAAAUUGACAGCAGGAUCUUGCAGUUAGAAGCCAGGCGCUGGAACACGAGGUCAAGUGAAGUCAGCUGCACGAUUCCCUUUGAUUUCUAUGAGAUGAGAGUUACAGCUGGCAUUCCAGAUUCGGUUUCCACCUCUUCCCCAUACCUUUGCCAUGCUUUCAGCAAGUGCAGCCAGGUACCCAGGUGCCUAAAUUCCAUAGGCUGAAAAUUUUGCUCAAGGGAUUGCUGUUCACCCAGACUCUGCAGCAUAUGCUUCCUUCAGCCCUUGUUCUGCACAGCAAAAACACAUGGAAGCCCACUGAACCGUGGCACAUGAUUAACUUCAGGCACAUGUUUCAGAGCUCUCCUGAAAAAGGAUGAGUUGUUAAUCAGAGCAACCACUUCUGCACUGUUCCUUCUGUGAAAUGGACAGAAAAUGGGCAGGUAUUGCCUUCCCACUGCCUCUAACUGAAAUGCCCAGCAUACUUUUGCUCCCCAAAGUUAUAUGGCUCAAAUAAAAAUGCUUAUGUGAAAGUUGAGCUUUGUCAAAGAUUUCGGACUUUUUUUAAAGAAGGUAAUGGUUUUUGUUUCUUUUCCUUCUCCCUGAUCAUUCAAGUUUUGGUAAGGGGCACAUUUUGAACACAAGUUUUAUAUUUCUCAGGAAAUGAGUGUAUUUUCCUUGCUUUUCUAAAAAUACCAUACUUUCAACUUUCAGUUAUUUAUCCAAAUAUAUUUCUAUUCCCCACUGUAUUCUGAACAUCUGAUCUAUGUGAGGCAAUGCUCUGUUUAACCUUGCUUGUACUGAAAGCAAUAAAAUAUAAAAUGAAUAGGUGGAAAGGGAUAGUAAAUCCCCAUUGAGGAAUUAUCUGGCAGUUUCUGAGUCAUGGGAAGAUAUCAACAAAGUGAAAUUUAUUUAAUAUUGAUGAAUGGGACAGUAAUGCACCUAGGGAGAAAUAACAGCAAUCAACACAGAUAUUUAGGAGACAUUAAUAUAGAAAAAGACCUUGGGGUUGAAGCGGAUAAUGAAGUACAUAAGAGCUCACAUUGCAAAACAGGCAAUUGGUGUUCCAGGGCGCGCAGCGUAAAAAGGGAUCUGCCGUGCAGCAAAGUGAGGGGUAUGUGCGGCAUCACUCAGCCUGGGUAAGACUGGAAUCAGAGUGGGGUAUGAAUUUUUCAGCCUCACCUUUUUAAAAAGACACAGGAAAGUGGCAGUGAACUAAAAGACGGGUAGCAGAAAUGACAAAGAGAGCUGCGGGCAUCGCGUGUGACGGUGCCACAGAAAGUAAUUCAUUCAGCAGGAGGGAGCAGCACCAGCCCUCCUGUCUGCAUGCCACGUGAAUGGACUUUCCCUGCAGCAGCAAUGGUAAAAGGGUCUCAAAUUAAAAAUGGAACAACUCCAUUUAGAUACAAGAGAAAUGACUUAAUACUGAGGGCUGUUACACGGGCAACGGAGUAAGCUGUCUGGUGAGCAGCUGAACACAAGGCAGUGUCGAUAGAAGGUUUCUGGGGUGAGACUGGAAAAAGUGCCAGUGGGAUUACUGCAGAAGAGGCUUCUCAGCAUGAGCAUGGCUAACACAAAGGUCCUUUGCUGUCAUUUUCAUCUACAGUUCUGGGAUCUCAAAGGCUGCGCACAAUAAAAGAGACGAUAUGUCCAGUUUAUUAAUGAAAUCCAUCUGCCACUCUCAGUAAGACUACACGGUGAAUGGGACAAGAGGUGUAGCCCUACAAGCCUCACCCCUGCAUCCCAUCUGCUCUACAAGCAUUCACAGGAGUGGGCCCAGGAGCUGAAGAUGCUGCAGAGGUCCCUUUUACACCAGGCAAUGUCACACCCCAUCCAAAUCACCAUGAGAUAAAGAUGUUCCCCUUUAAUGUAAUAAAGGACGACAACAAUACUCCAACAGAGCCAUUGGUGUGCAUGAUUUGUUACAGACGUUCCAUCUCUGGCUCUGGAAACACUGCAGCAUGACACCUUGUCAUGAGCAGGCCCUCCGUGACACAGCUCCUGCUGGCUCCGUCUCCCCAUGUCCCUCUCUCUGGGGAACUGCCCCUUCAGCAUUCUCUUGAGUGGGAGCAGAGCUUAGAGGCAAAGCACAGCCCCAGCUUCCUUUUGCCUUCUCACAGCCAAGAAGAGGAAGAGCAUGGGAUGGCUUUCUCCUCAUUCAUCUGGGGCUUGUGACAGCGGUCCCCUCCCACUCUGGUUGUCUCAUGGUUAGGAUGCCAGCGGGAGGAGAGCAAAGGAGUGAUUUGUGGGACGGUAAGUCAAUCAUAGUGCAGUCCAGGUAGCCAUAAAACAUCUUUACUUCUACCAAUAGGUGAAAUUUAUGGCACUGCUCAAUGGAAAGUAAAAUGCUCCCACAGGGUGAGGGGAAUUCUGGAGAGGUUCCUAUUCAUUUAAAGGGAACUGUAUUACUCCUUACUCUUCUUCCCUCCCCAGCUUUAUUUUGCAGCAGACAGCCCCAUAAAUCUAUCUGGGUGGCAGCCCUUUGGUGAUGCACUGAAGCCCAGAGCACAUCCUGCAGGCACAGUAUUCAGAGGCGAAGCAGGGGAGCAUGUCCCUUGCUCCUCACGAUGUAGUCAGCACUGCAGGGCUACUCUUGUCCCUGCCAGAGCCUCCGAGUUUGCCAAGAGGCUGAGAAUGGCCCAGGUGGCCCCUCCAACCAUUUCCACACUUCUCAGAGUUGCUGAACCUCUGGAUCCACUGCCCUCCUCCUGUCCUACAGACAACAGUGAGUGCCCAACAGAGCAAGAGUACACGUGUCAUAGAAUCAUAGAAUCACAGAAUCACAGAAUCAUAGAUUCAUAGAAUCAAA